GACGGUACUUGAGGAAUAAGCCACGGCUAAUUCCGUGCCAGCAGCCGCGGUAAUACGGGAGUGGCAAGCGUUAUCCGGAAUUAUUGGGCGUAAAGCGUCCGCAGGCGGCCUUGUAAGUCUGUCGUUAAAGCGUGGAGCUCAACUCCAUUUCAGCGAUGGAAACUACAAGGCUUGAGUGUGGUAGGGGCAGAGGGAAUUCCCGGUGUAGCGGUGAAAUGCGUAGAUAUCGGGAAGAACACCAGUGGCGAAGGCGCUCUGCUGGGCCAUAACUGACGCUCAUGGACGAAAGCCAGGGGAGCGAAAGGGAUUAGAUACCCCUGUAGUCCUGGCCGUAAACGAUGAACACUAGGUGUCGGGGGAAUCGACCCCCUCGGUGUCGUAGCCAACGCGUUAAGUGUUCCGCCUGGGGAGUACGCACGCAAGUGUGAAACUCAAAGGAAUUGACGGGGGCCCGCACAAGCGGUGGAGUAUGUGGUUUAAUUCGAUGCAACGCGAAGAACCUUACCAGGGUUUGACAUCCUGCGAAUCCCUUGGAAACGAGGGAGUGCCUUCGGGAGCGCAGAGACAGGUGGUGCAUGGCUGUCGUCAGCUCGUGUCGUGAGAUGUUGGGUUAAGUCCCGCAACGAGCGCAACCCACGUCUUUAGUUGCCAGCAUUCAGUUGGGCACUCUAGAGAGACCGCCGGUGAUAAACCGGAGGAAGGUGUGGAUGACGUCAAGUCAUCAUGCCCCUUACAUCCUGGGCUACACACGUACUACAAUGCUACGGACAAAGGGCAGCAAGCUCGCGAGAGUAAGCAAAUCCCAUAAACCGUGGCUCAGUUCAGAUCGUAGGCUGCAACUCGCCUACGUGAAGGAGGAAUCGCUAGUAAUCGCAGGUCAGCAUACUGCGGUGAAUACGUUCCCGGGCCUUGUACACACCGCCCGUCACACCAUGGAAGUUGGCCAUGCCCGAAGUCGUUACUCCAACCCUUGUGGAGGAGGACGC
rnacentral:rRNA from 1 species